UGAUCACUGUUGUUCAACACAUUAAUCAAGAAUUCUGAAAUAAUAAAAUAUUUAUAAAAUAUAUGUUUUAAUUAUUUUAUAUAGCACCUUUAAAAGUAGCUUCUCAAAGCACUGUACACAAAAUGAACAAGACACAAUGUAAACAAAAAAUAUAAACAAUAAUAAUUAGGCACCAUCUGGUUUUCUCUUUGGUUAAGAAUAAUGCUAAAGCAAUGAGUUUCAUUGCCAAAAGACUGACAAUUUUCAGAUCUGUGUAUCAUCAACAUAGAAAUAAUAAUAGAGACCCAGUGACCGUAGCAGGUGGCCGAGUGGUUGCGGAUAAAUGUGUAAAAGAAAAGGGCCUAAAACGGUGUCCUGGGGGACACCAUAGAAAACAGAGCUGGGGUCUCAUGUAUAAAACGGUGCAUAGGAUCCAAACUAAAAGUUUUUGUGUGUUUAAAAGCCAAAAAUGACAUACAGUAAAAAAAUAUUUUGAUUUAUAAAACCAUGCAAACCCAUACCUGUAAGCAAUGUUUCCUUUAUAAAUUACAGAUCACUUACAAGUAUGGGUAUGUGAACCAGCCUCAUAUCCCGCCCUAUACACGCCUGUUUUAAACCAUAAAUAGUCAAUGCAAAUCACUUUCUGAACGCUGAUCCGCAUAAUAAUGAGACUGGCAUCCAACUGUUUGUUCGCAAGAUAGUAUGCUCUCCGCCAAUAAAUGCAAGCCAUUGGCGUAAUCAUCUAGCAGUGCAAUUACACAGGGGUCACCGCACCAUUUAUAUGUUUACAGCAGUUAGGGUGCACUUACACUAUCCAAACAAAACCAAACCGUGCUCAGGCGCGUUUGACCCCCAAAGCCUGGUUCGUUUGACUAGUCUGAUCACUCUUUACCACGCUUGGGCACGGUUUGGUUAAUCGCGAUCUGGCCGCCUUGCAAUGCUGGGCUGGAGCGCGGUUCAUUUGGGCUCAGGAGUGGCGCGGUUGUGUGAGUGCAAAAGGAGAGACGUUAAUUGUGCGACCAGUCACCUUCAUCUGCCUUCUUAUAAAAACCUUCUGAUGCACGCAGCAGGGUUACGUGAAUGUCUGAGUUACACCUGUGACAGACCAACUAAGCAAUACGAUGGCAUGUGAGAGGGCUGUGUGCAGGGGUGCAUUUUGAUAAGCAAAGGCCAUUUUAAAAGGCCCCCUUUUACCCAUAAUUUAUAUUUGUGCUAAUCUAAGAAUACAAUUAUAUUGCCUACCUUUAAAAUGUUUUCUUCCUAGUUUUUCUUGCUGCGAAGUCUUUGAUAAUGUCAGUAAACUCCAGAGACAUUAAAGUUAGCUGACAGAGACGAUCCUGGCCCAUUACAGAAUGCAGCCUGUUUUUGACCAAGGCCAGCUUUGAAAAUGACCACUCACUGGUGGCAUUUGUAACAGGUAGCGUGAGAAAUAAGCGUAGAGCUAUGUUUGAAAAUACAGACACUAACAUCCGUUGCUUAAUCAUCUUAAUGAGCGCUCUUGCCGUAGUGUUGAUUUCCUUUUGGAUACUUGCUUUAAAUUGUAAAAGCUUAUCCACUAAGUCAAUUUCCAAAUCUCUGCAGUAUUUUUUUUUGCAAUUUUGUUGCAGACAAACGGGGCUCCUCUGGAGUCAGGGGCAGAAUGUUUCUUAAAAAUCCAAAAUGCUGGUUUACAGUAUCAUAUGAAUGGAAUCGGCGGUCCAGCUCCGCUACGAGUCUGUCAAUCACCAGUAUAAAAACACUUGAAGAAAACUGAUCCCGGCCUGACAAACAGUGGUACGGCUCUGUGGAUUCAUCACAACACUUUUUGCGUUUUUUUCUGGUGCUGAUAGUUCACUUUAUACAAGUCAGACACGGUUGGAGACAUUUGCUUUGCCGUUGCCUCAAAACUGUCAAACUGAUUUCGGAGCUCUGCCACAAAGUCUCUUAACGAUCUUAAAGGCACACUGCGGAACUUUUUGGCCACUAGGGGGCGUGAGACAUGUAUUCUUUCACGCCUAUCGCCCCUAGAGGCCACAAGCGCCGCAGCACUGUCGCAAAGGAAAAGAACUGGCCAACCUUAAAACUAAACUAAAAACUAAACCUUUAAAAUGCUAAACGAUCAAAAUUUUGAGGCAUCAGGGAGAAACGCAGUCAUGUUACAACUUUCUGAUGAGGAACUCGUGGCAGAAGCCAUUUCUCAAUCUGAAGGUUGCAGCCUCCGGAUGUCGUAUUUCUAAACUGCAUACGUCAUCAUAUUUCAGAAUAUUAAAAAUUAUAAAGUUGACUAUUAUACUUAGUAAAUCAUAAAUUGUUGCAGUAUGCUUAUGACUUGCGAAUGUAAUGCUCAGUUUACCUUAAUAAACCAGGCUUGAUGACGUAUGCAGCCUGCAUAUUUGACCUCCGGAGGCUGCAGCCUUCCAAUUGAGAAAUGACCAGAUGUAUUUCCUUGCCUUUUUCGAAACAAAUAUUGUUGCAUCGUCUCUCUCUCCCACGCCACCAGAAUUUUCCGCAAUGGCGCUCGUUUUUCCUCUCUUUUGUGUGAAAAUUGUCGCUCCAAAUUCAAGUAAACUGAUUUGUUUAGGUCUGUCGCUUUGGGAUACGUCAUGCGAGUGACAGAGGAACGCAGCAAAUGAGGAAGAGAGAAGAGAGAAACGCUCGGAUCUGAUUGAUGAAUGAAUAGGGUUUGGUGAAUGAAUAGGGUUUGAUUUUACACUGUGUGAGUUUGAGCAAGUUUGACUGCUAUAGCAUCCUGGAUUGUAAUGUAAAUACCAUAGACCGUAAAAGAAAGGUAAAUACAUGAACACGUGAAUGCAGCAUCUGAAUACAGGGAACUAUAUGCAAGAUAAUCGCCGUCAUUUAUAAAGAAGAUCGCAUUUAUGUAUAAAUCAAGAUCGUGAGUUUAUAUAAACAUUGCCUUAAAGGGGAAUCGAACCUGUGUCGCCCGUGUCAUAGGUCCGUGACACUAACACGAUGUCACAGAGUCAAAUAAUAGAAGUUGCUCUCUACACUCCUUAAGUAGCCUCCUGCAAAAUUCACGUUAAAAAAAUUGUGUGGAGGAAGUGACGUAUGCCGUAAAGCAGUCGAAUUUUGUACUUUUUUUUGUGCUCUGGUUACUACCCGAAACCCUAAGUUUUAAAGUAUGAGUAAAAGCGAUACAGACCCCGUCAGGCUAUAGUAGACAUGUCAUUUAACCUAUUUAAAGUCGAUGUAGUAUCACAAGGGUCUUGAAAAUAUUUUAUAAAGGUUGAAAAACUACAUGGUGUUGCUUUAACAAAUCUACAACAAGACAUAAGUCAAUAUCAACACCCUGGAGGGAUGUGGUUGUCUUAUAAAAUCGCUGCAGAAUUGUGUUCCACAUGUUACAGAGGAAAGCAAUUUCCAGUUUAUCCAUUUUCUUGUUUAGUCGACUGCCUUCAUCAUGAGUGGUCAACUGCUGGUUAGUGUCAUCAGGUAUCGUUCUCAGUGAUUCCUGGAUGUUUGCGUAAUUUAAACAGAGCGCUUUGGUGGCUUGUGCAUGCGCAGACCACCUUGUAUCUGAGAGUGUUUUUAGGGUCUCUAUCCUGCUGUUGUCAUUUGGUUGUAAACAGGCGGUAAUAGUCUUCCAUCGUGCUGGUGAUCUUGAGCAAAAAUUAAAAAGUGUCUGAAUAAAAGAGAAAAAGUCUUCUGUUUCUAGGCAGCAGUUCACGCUGUUUACGCCAACCAAAUUAAGCGUAUGGGCAGUGCAUGGGACCAAUUCAACCAAAGGGUUUAUCUCUUUUAUACGCGACUGCAAACCUUUAUAACAGCCAGACAUGUUGCUGGUGUUAUCCUAGCUUUGACUUCUGCAAUCAUCAAAGUUUAUUUCCAUCUCCUUUAAAGCAUUCAACACAGCUGUGCAAAGAGAAUCCCCUGAACGACUUGUGGUAGGCAAAAAAUUUAGGAAACGUUCCUCAAUGCACCCCUCUUGUGAGACAUAUCGUAAAAUGAAUGUGAGUUGAUCAGUGUGUGCCACAUCGGGGGUAGAAUCAACACUGAUUGAAAAGUACUUUGCGACCUUAAUUUGUGUCAGGAUAUCACAAAGAACCUUCUGCCCCAUUAGCUGAAUAAAUUCUUCAUAUAUCCCAUGAGAGAGAUAACAAUGGUUUCCUUUUCCUGCAUUCCCAUAUUUCUCAAUGUGUGAUUUUAAGAAGGAAUCAAACUGGCUAAUUAAUUCUAAAAUUCCCAAAAAAUUUCUAUUGUUUACCCAAAACAGCGCUAUGACCCCUUAAAAGGAAGUUUGCGCUCUGCUAGAAAUUUAACAACUGCUACUACCCUUCAUAACACUUCAGUCCAGUACUCGCGCUCAGUUUCAAAUUGUUUCUUUAGCUCUGAGUCCAUCUGUCUUUUCUCUGCACUUUCAAACAAAUAAGUUAGUAUGCCUUUACGGUGUGUCUCGGAGCCUUCAUGCUGCAUUAUGCGCUCCCUGCCAUGUUCCCAAUCAUUUAAACCACUUUCGAAUAAUUUGGGUUUAUCUCCAAAAAUUUUACAUGCAAAGCAAAAAAUUUUCCUUUGGAAGGCAAAUACAAAACCCAUUCUCUGGGCACACUCUCACCAUUGCCAAGUUCACGUCUGAAAUAGUUUUGUGAAAAGUGACGUUUCUGGUGCUUAUACACGCGUUCUGAAGCCGACACGACAACGUUUUUAUUCUCAUACAGUUCUGAGGCCGUUUCAGAAAGGUGGUUGAGUGCCAGGGGUGGAGCGGGGGGGUGGCUUUUGGGGCUCGAGCCCCGAAUGUUUUGUCAAAAGCCCCGAAUCUUGUCAGAUCUGUAAAAUGAAUUCAUCCAGGACGCUAGGUGGCGGCACUCAGCUUUAACACUCCGGUCCCCCACUCAACUGAAAAUGAAUAAGAGAUGCGUGUUGAAGGCAAAAAAUAUGCUGAAUCUCCCCACAGUAAACGCAUUUUCAAAGUGUCUUUAUUAUUACAGUGCCUUCGUUAUUACUGUAAGUGUAUAUUUAUAGUUAUGUGAUGUAAAUACUGUUAAAUAGCGUCAACUGAUAUAUUAUCUGCAUGGCUAACGUCUAACUUACUGUGGUGCUCUGGUCUAGUCUGCCUCAUUGGUCAUUGAUGGAUAUACGAUUUAUAUUUUUAAAGACGUCAGAAGUAAGAAGUGCAAAUAGGAAGAGAGGAGGGUGGAGAGAGAUCACAGACAGACAGACAGAAAGAGAGAGAAACGCUUCCAUAAGCAGGUGAAAAAUUGUUCUGUCAAUGAAGUCAAAAAUUGUUAUUCUUAUGUAGCUUUAUAGUUACUGGAUUAGCCUUCAGCAAACAUGUUUG